AUGGCCAAGGACGUCCUGGGUGCUGGGUUGCACUUUGAUGAGCUGAACAAGCUGCGGGUGUUGGACCCAGAGGUUACCCAGCAGACCAUAGAGCUCAAGGAAGAGUGCAAGGACUUUGUGGACAAAAUUGGCCAAUUUCAGAAAAUUGUUGCUGGUUUACUUGAGCUUGUUGACCAACUUGCAAAAGAAGCAGAAAAUGAGAAGAUGAAGGCCACUGGUGCUUGCAAUUUGCUCAAAUCUAUCAUAAAACAGAGAGAAGCCCAACAGAGGCAACUCCAAGCACUAAUAGCAGAAAAGAAAAUGCAGCUCGAAAGGUAUCGGGUUGAAUAUGAAGCUUUGUGUAAAGUGGAAGCAGAACAAAAUGAAUUUAUUGACCAAUUUAUUUUUCCGAAAUGAGCUGAAAUUUCAUGAUAUAGCAGGAGGGCAGAAAAACAAAAAAAACCUCUGUACCAUUCCAGUGACUUUGACUAAUGACCCAAGUAUAUCAUGUGAGAUGGUGUGUGAAGGAUGCAUC